rnacentral:rRNA from 1 species
CCUACGGGGUGCUGCAGUAGGGAAUCUUUCACAAUGGGCGAAAGCCUGAUGGAGCAACGCCGCGUGCAGGAUGAAGGCCUUCGGGUUGUAAACUGCUUUUAUAAGCGAGAAAUAUGAUGGUAACUUAUGAAUAAGGAUCGGCUAACUACGUGCCAGCAGCCGCGGUCAUACGUAGGAUCCGAGCAUUAUCCGGAGUGACUGGGUGUAAAGAGUUGCGUAGGUGGCAUAAUAAGUAGCUAGUGAAAUCUGGUGGCUCAACCAUUCAGACUAUUAGCUAAACUGUUAAGCUCGAGAGCGUUAGGGGUAACUGGAAUUUCUAGUGUAGGAGUGAAAUCCGUAGAUAUUAGAAGGAACACCAAUAGCGUAGGCAGGUUACUGGGACGGUUCUGACACUAAGGCACGAAAGCGUAGGGAGCAAACGGGAUUAGAUACCCUAGUAGUC